rnacentral:rRNA from 1 species
GGAGGAAGGUGGGGAUGACGUCAAGUCCUCAUGGCCCUUACAUCCCGGGCUACACACGUGCUACAAUGGCAGGUACAGAGGCUGCGAAGCCGCGAGGUGGAGCGAAUCCCAGAAAACCUGUCUCAGUCCGGAUUGAAGUCUGCAACUCGACUUCAUGAAGGCGGAAUCGCUAGUAACCGGCGAAUCAGCAGGUCGCGGUGAAUACGUUCCCGGGCCUU